UUUUUAAUGUGUGCCAUUGUGCCCACAGUAAAAAAAAUGACAAUAAAGGUUAUCUAUCUAGUAUGAUGACAUGUGUUUAUAAUAUAGUAGUCUGGUUUCUGAGGUACUUUUGAAGUAUGGCAGUGUUAGCCUUGCCACAGCGUGUGUUGAUUGUGCUAUAUUGGAUUGAACGGUUAGACAUGUUUUGAUAAAGUUGCCUGAGAUAAGAUAGUCUUGUUAAUUAGGUUAUUACUCAAUCGUGUUCUAUGUCCUCUCUUGCUCAUUUUUGGAAUACAGAAGCACUGCUUACACAAUGAUUGACUAAAGAUCCGCCUUCUUAAAUAUUUGAGCACUCUGCAGGAAUGUAAGUUGGCUAAAGGACAUGACAUGAGUGACAGUUGGGGACUAGCCAAAGUAAUGGAGCCAGAGGACGAUUUCCUAUAUAAAUACAAAGGAAUCUAUUUCAUAAAUGGCAUGUCUUCACCCAAAGGUAUAGAUUUACUGGACAGUUUGGAAAUCCGAGAUGAUGAUAUAUUCAUAAUCACAUAUCCUAAAUCUGGCACAAUAUGGACUCAGAAUAUUGUGAGCCUGAUUUUUCAUGAAGGUCAUCGAGAUGGAACUGAAAAUAUUACCCUGAAUGAAAGAGCACCAUGGCUGGAGUAUAACAUUUUGCAUGUAGAUUUUUCCAGUUACCCAUCACCUCGUCUCUUUAGUUCCCAUCUGCCCUACUAUUUGGUACCCAAAGGAUUACGAAGUAGAAGAGCAAAAAUUAUUUAUGUGCUUAGAAAUCCAAAGGAUAUCUUGGUUUCUAGCUAUCAUUUUCACAAAAUCUUAGUCAAAUUAGAAACCCCAAAAGACUUCAGUACUUUCUUUGAGACGUUUUUGGCUGGAAAAGUGCUUUGUAGUUCGUGGCUAGACCAUGUAGAAGGCUGGUAUGCUCAUAAGGGUGAUUUCAAUAUUCUCUUCCUUUCUUAUGAAGAAAUGAAAAAGGACCUGAGAAGAUCUGUACUGAAAAUAUGCAACUUCCUAGGAAAAAAGCUAACUGAAAAGGAGACGGAUGAUGUGGUAGAUAAAGCUACAUUUGAUAACAUGAAAAUAGAUUCCAGAGCAAACUACACAUUCUUGCCUUCUGAUCUCCUCGAUUUCAGCAAAGGAAACUUUCUUCGCAAAGGUACUGUUGGGGACUGGAAGAACACCAUGACUGUUGCCCAGAGUGAAAGGUUUGACCGUGUCUUUAAGGAGAGGAUGGAAAAGCUGCCCUUCAGGUUCUGCUGGGAUAUUCAGGAAGAUCUUGAGCCUAUUUCCAGCUCAGUGGAGGAAAAUAAUGUGUGAUGCACAACUUCAAAUGGCUUGGAUCAGAGAUGACCUUCCAAGAACAGUCUUUCUGUAACCUUGUAAUGCUUAAGUCUCAACUCUGCAGAGAUCAUAGAACAGAGCAACAUCAAAUUCUAUGGCUAACAGACCCAUGGCCCUACAAAUCUUAGCACUCUGUGGAUAGGGUGGAGAAGACACUGAACCAGAAAAGGCAUAUCUCCUAUGUUGCGUCCUAAGCCUACAAAUGCAGACUCGAGACAUUGCAAGGUUCCCGGGCAAUUGCAAAAACUGCCCGGGACCAGACUGAGUGGCGCCGGCCGAGUGCGCAUGCGCAAGGCACGAAAAGUGCCUAGUAAUGUUGCCAUCUUGUCUGGGGAAUUGGGACGUAUAAAAGGAGGCCUGCGUGCCUUUGCUCGUUGUUGGAGUUGGAAAUAAGUACAACAAUUGGAUGUGUUAAUUGGAUUUCCCUUAUCUACUAAGUAAAUCUAUGACAAAUUAGAUCAA